AACGAACGUGGCAACGUGCGCAAUAGAUUAAUAGAUUAUGGCUGCACCGAUCGAUCCUGGGGGGGAGGGGCGAGCGAGUCACGUGGAAUCUUUGGUGAUCUUCCCUGCCCAGCUAUGGAAUAGAAAAGGGAUGAUAAAGUAGUUCACUCCAAUUAGGCAUUCGUAACCAGGGUCCUUCAGCUUGUUUGCAAAUGUAGUGAAGCACUUAAAUGUGUCUAAAAAGCUGUAGUGGAACUAGACAAGCUGGUGUUUACCCAAACGAAACUGCUUAAUUUGUUUUUUGAACGAAAGUGGCAGGCUUAAGAAGAAGAAAAGUUCAAAUUUACGCAAGGCACUCAUGCCUCGGCAGUACACAGGGACACAUCUCACACGACCCAACAGAAACUGACACAGGCAGGCAGAAAAAACUCAAAGAAAAAACUUGAGGACCGAGGUGUACGUAGUCCCUUCUGUAUUCUCCAAACAAUCGUUUAUUCUCUCUCCCACCUGCUGGGCUGUGAGGUGCUCAUUUUUUUCAUAACUACUUCUGGUUGCUUAAGGCUAUCCGCACCGCUAGAUUGCAAAGGAAACGCAACUGUAAAUUUGGAGGUGAGACCCCCGCAGCGCAACCCUCUAUCGCACCCUCUACAGUUCCGUUUGCUACAGCAAACCUCCAAACUCGGAGGUGGAGAGAGGAACGCUAUCCUCAACCAUUGCGGCGCGAAGCAACCGUCACGGCCGGAUCCGUGCGCUGGAGGCGGGGAGGAGGGAGCCGUGGCCGCCAACGGGGAGGAGGCACUAGCGCAGGCGGGAGGAGGCCACGGCCCUUUGGCGCAGAUGAGGCCGAAGCACGGAGAGGAGGUCAACGACGCGCUCCUCUGCUCCCCCGACCACGGCGGCGACGGUGACGACUCCGGCGAGGAGGAGGAUGGAGGAAGGGAGGGGUAGAGAGAGCUCGCCGCUGGCCACCGGGACCCUGCAGCAAUGGCGAGCCCCGACGGCCGGACCAGAUCCCGCCGCCGGCUGGGAAGCAGGGAGGGAGGCUGCGUCCUCGCGCCGCACCGUGGAGGCCGGGCCCCCGCGCCGUGCUCCUCUCGUGUCGGGGAGGAGUGACGGCUGUUGGUGGGGAAGGAGACGUCGGCGAGAGGGAGGAGCUUCGGCCGCCGCCAGCCUCGACCCUGCUGCCGGCCGGGAAGGGAGAAGGGGGGGAGGAGAGAGGGAUGGGAGGGAGCGGGUGGUUUGAAGAAGAGGAUAGAGACGCUCGACAACACGUUUUAUGUUUUACCGAUCGGUAAAACCCAAUUUAACAGGUAGGCCAUGCUCAUUUACCGGUUCCUUUAGGAGUACAGCGGUGCGGUUAGCCUAAGAACCCAAACUAAACUAGACGGUGCAUGCAAAUUCAGGAGCGACCUCUCUGAGACGAUGAGUGCGGGGCAAGGGCAAGACCUCUACUUCAGGUUGCUUAAGAACCCAAACCUGCUGCUUGAUUGCGCAUGGUUAACUGACGCUUGUUGCCAUUGCCAUUAUUGCGCUUGAUUGCGGCACCAUGCACCAUCACUGUACAAGAGUACAAGUAGAGGUGAGCCUGAGCCAUCACGUGCAACCGCCAACCGAACAAGAACAGCUGCAUUCGUUAGCUGGCAAGAUGCCAUUCACCUUGACUGGGCUAGGCUCAUCGUCAUAGCCUCAGAUCUCCUUCCAUCUGGUGAAAUUUCAUAGGAAUAUCAUAGUCUCUGUGUUUCUUUUUUUUUUAAAAAAAGAUAUCAUAGUCUUCUUCAGAGAAGCGUCUAUGCCGAACGCCGUGCAUCGCCACAACCCACGUACCCCUACGGCAAUUCACGAGCGCGAGCCCUCGGAUGAGUUCACGCCGCUGCUUCGCUUGAUCUCGUAUGGCGAGGAGAGGAGACCUUCCAGCGGCUGACAGUCCGAACGAGCCCCUGGUUUUCGGCAUGCGAAUGGGCAAAUGAUGCGUUUCCAGGCUUCCAGCCGGCAUGCGAAGUGAGCAAGUACUGGC
rnacentral:lncRNA from 1 species